GGACGCUCUUCUGGUGCUGAGGCCCCUGGUGGCCAGGCCCGGGGGUUGGGCAGCGUCCUCCAGCGUGGACUCUGAGCUCUCAAUCACUCACGGUGCACGUGCUUUCUCUCCCAGAGCCAGGCGCAGGCCCCAGGGGCAGGGGCGGGACGGGAGCCCGCCUCUCCCUACUCCCUCAGGACCCACUGGCAAAAUGUCUGCCUCCCAUUUCUGCAACCAGGCUCCACGCGGGAAAGCAGUCCUGACCCCCCCCAGGAGUGCUUCCCGGGGGACGCGACGACGGUCCACUAAACUGAAGUGGGUACUGCACUGGCUCCUGAGGACGCUUCACACAGGGCUAAAUCGGCGUGGCCACCGCAGGCCUUUGGCUCCAGAUUCAGAGGACGCAGUUGGGCAGCGGUGGCCGUGGGCUCGUGUCUGGAAGUGGGGAGCAGCUGACAUCCUCAGGGUGCUCCAGACUCAGGUCUGUCCCGUGAGGUUUGAGAAACUGAUGUGACUCCAUUUUUGAAAACCCAGCCUCUACCUCAGCAGGGCUUGUCCUUGGAAAACCUGUUCCAGCUACCUGCUGAGUCCUCUGUCCUUGACUUAGCAAAUGCAAGUUCCUGAAAGACCAGAGAAGGCCUGAGGCCUGACUGGGACCGAGCAACAGAGACACCCAGAUACCCGGCCCUCCGCCGCCCUGCAGUUCAGCCUACCUGUCCACCUCUUGAACUAACCAAUCACCUACCCAACCUGUUCCCCCGGUGAAGGUGCUGACCAGUGUGAGGAGUUGUUGUGUGACUUUCCCGCGGUGUGGAAUGACUUGCUGUGAUGUUGUGGCACAUAGAGUGUCCCCCAAAACCUAUAAAAUCUCACUGGACACAGGACCGGGACUCACUCCUGGGACCGCUGCGUGGGGAACGGUUGUGAGUCCAGGCUCCAGCUUGUGUGAUGGCAUGGGAUUCGGCUCCCGGAGGUCGAUGGGGGUCCCCCGAACCUGGCCUUACAGGCUCCCCAUCAAGAGGCCUCCCUGAGGAGACACUGGCAAAUCCAAACCCAGGGCUGCCAACCAAGGCCGCUGCCCUCUGUAAGAGCCUCAGGCAGAAAGGGCAAG
rnacentral:lncRNA from 1 species